rnacentral:lncRNA from 10 species
ACAGAUUUUACAGACUGGAGAAUUGAGGCCCAGAAUGUCUAACCCUGCCAGAGCCAAAGAGCAAGAAGGAGUCAACUUCAAUUCCAUGUCUUUGCCAGCUGGAGAGGCCCAUGGGACAAGGAACUGAGGGAGGCCAUCCACCAUUGCAAUGAAGGAACAGAGGCCCUCAGCCCAGUCACCCUGGAGGGACUGAAUUCCAACAACAACUAUGAGUGAGCCCAGAAUUGGAGCCUUCAGAUGAGACCACAACCCUGGCUAACACCUUGAUUGCAGCUUUGUGAGAGAUCCUAAGCCAGAGGCCCCCAGCUAAGUGAUACAUGGAUUUCUGACCCACAGAAACUUCUCGCUGCCUAGGUGGACAACCAUCCAGGAAGAAAUAGACCCAGAACAUAACAACCCUCUCUCACAACUUGGAGGCCUG